CAGCCGUAAACAAUGUGCGUUAGGUGUGUCGGUAACCACGCGUUACUGAUGCGCCGAAGAGAAAUCGUGAAACGCACCACCUGGGAAGUACGGUCGCAAGGCUGAAACUUAAAGGAAUUGGCGGGGGGAGCACCACAACGGGUGGAGCCUGCGGUUUAAUUGGACUCAACGCCGGAAAUCUCACCGGAUAGGACAGACAUAUGAUAGUCGGGCUGAAGACUCUACUUGAUGAUCUGAGAGGUGGUGCAUGGCGUCAGUGACU
rnacentral:rRNA from 1 species